rnacentral:rRNA from 1 species
GCUGGCGGCAGGCCUAACACAUGCAAGUCGAACGCCCGUAGCAAUACGGGAGUGGCAGACGGGAGAGUAACACGUGGGAACGUGCCCUUCAGUUCGGAACAACCCAGGGAAACUUGGGCUAAUACCGGAUACGUCCGUAAGGAGAAAGAUUUAUCGCUGAAGGAUCGGCCCGCGUCUGAUUAGCUAGUUGGUGAGGUAAUGGCUCACCAAGGCGACGAUCAGUAGCUGGUCUGAGAGGAUGAUCAGCCUCACUGGGACUGAGACACGGCCCAGACUCCUACGGGAGGCAGCAGUGGGGAAUCUUGGACAAUGGGCGCAAGCCUGAUCCAGCCAUGCCGCGUGGGUGAUGAAGGCCCUAGGGUUGUAAAGCCCUUUCGGCGGGGAAGAUAAUGACGGUACCCGCAGAAGAAGCCCCGGCUAACUUCGUGCCAGCAGCCGCGGUAAUACGAAGGGGGCUAGCGUUGCUCGGAAUCACUGGGCGUAAAGCGCACGUAGGCGGAUUGCUAAGUCAG